GAUGAACGCUGGCGGCGUGCCUAAUACAUGCAAGUCGAACGAAACUUCUUUAUCCCCGAGUGCUCGCACUCACCGAUAAAGAGUUGAGUGGCGAACGGGUGAGUAACACGUGGGCAACAUGCCCAAAAGAGGGGGAUAACACUUGGAAACAGGUGCUAAUACCGCAUAACCAUAGUUACCGCAUGGUAACUAUGUAAAAGGUGGCUAUACUACCGCUUUUGGAUGGGCCCGCGGCGCAUUAGCUAGUUGGUAGGGUAAAGGCUUACCAAGCCAAUGAUGCGUAGCCGAAUGAAGAGGUUGAUCGGCCACAUUGGGACUAAGAUACGGCCCAAACACCUACGGGAGGCAGAAGUAGGGAAUCUUCCACAAGGGACGAAAGCCUGAUGGAGCAACGCCGCGUAGGUGAAGAAGGUCUUCGGAUCGUAAAACCCUGUUGUUAGAGAGGAAAGUGCAUGAGAGUAACUGUUCACGUUUCGACGGUAUCUAACCAGAAAGCCACGGCUAACUACGUG
rnacentral:rRNA from 1 species